rnacentral:rRNA from 1 species
GACGGAGGAUCCAAGCGUUAUCCGGAUUUAUUGGGUUUAAAGGGUGCGUAGGCGGACUGUUAAGUCAGUGGUGAAAGGUUGACGCUCAACGUUAACAUUGCCAUUGAAACUGGUAGUCUUGAGUGCAAAUGAGGCAGGCGGAAUGUGUUGUGUAGCGGUGAAAUGCAUAGAUAUGACACAGAACACCAAUUGCGAAGGCAGCUUGCUGGAAUGUAACUGACGCUGAGGCACGAAAGCGUGGGGAUCAAACAGG